rnacentral:rRNA from 1 species
AUUGAACGCUGGCGGCAGGCCUAACACAUGCAAGUCGAGCGGUAACAGGUCUUUCGGGAUGCUGACGAGCGGCGGACGGGUGAGUAACGUCUAGGGCUCUGCCCAUUCGAGGGGGAUAACGCGGGGAAACUCGCGCUAAUACCGCAUACGCCCUACGGGGGAAAGGUGCUGAAUUGGAUGGCUAAUGGAUGAACCUAGAUCAGAUUAGCUAGGUGGUAGGGUAAAGGCCUACCAAGGCGACGAUCUGUAGCUGUUCUGAGAGGAUGAUCAGCCAAACUGGGACUGAGACACGGCCCAGACGCCUACGGGAGGCAGGAGUGGGGAGUAUUGGACAAUGGGGGCAACCCUGAUCCAGCCAUGCCGCGUGUGUGAAGAAGGUCUUCGGAUUGUAAAGCACUUUAAGUUGGGAGGAAGGGGUGUAGUAAUGACACAUCUUUGACGUUACCGACAGAAUAAGCACCGGCUAACUUCGUGCCAGCAGCCGCCGUAA